GAUGAACGCUGGCGGCGUGCCUAAUACAUGCAAGUCGAGCGAACGGACGAUAAUCUUGUUUUUUUGUUGUUUGCGGCGGACGUGUGAGUAACACGUGGAUAACCUACCUAUAAGACGGGGAUAACUACGGGAAACCGGAGCUAAUACCGGAUAAUAUUUUGAUCCGCAUGGUUCAAAGGUGAAAGACGGCCUUUCUGGCACUUAUAGAUGCAUCCGCGCUGCAUUGGCUGGUUGGUAAGGUAACGGCUUAUCAAGGCUACGAUGCAUAGCCGACGUGAGAGGGUGAUCGGCCACACGGGAACGGGGACAGGCUCCAGACUCCUGCGAGAGGCAGCAGUAGGGAAUCUUCCGCAAUGGGGGAGAGUCUGACGGAGCAAGGCGAAGUGAGUGGUGAAGGUCUUCGGAUCGUAAAACUCUGUUAUUAGGGAAGAACAUAUGUGGAAGUAAAUGUGGACAUCUUGACGGUACCUAAUCAGAAAGCCACGGCUAACUACGUG
rnacentral:rRNA from 1 species